rnacentral:rRNA from 1 species
GGCCUACCAUGGUGGUAACGGGUAACGGGGUGUUAGGGCACGACACCGGAGAGGGAGCCUGAGAAACGGCUACCACAUCCAAGGAUGGCAGCAGGCGCGCAAAUUACCCAAUCCCGACACGGGGAGGUAGUGACAAUAAAUAACAAUACGGGGUUCUUUCGGAUUUCGUAAUUGGAAUGAGUACAAUUUAAAUCUCUUAACGAGGAACAAUUGGAGGGCAAGUCUGGUACCAGCAGCCGCGGUAAUUCCAGCUCCAAUAGCGUAUAUUAAAGUUGUUGCAGUUAAAAAGCUCGUAGUUGAAUUUCGGGGUUAGUAGGUUGGUCAUGCCUCUGGUAUGUACUGGUCUCACUGAUUCCUCCUUCCUGAAGAGCCGUAAUGCCAUUAAUUUGGUGUUGCGAGGAAUCUGGACUGUUACUUUGAAAAAAUUAGAGUGUUUAAAGCAGGCUAACGCUUGAAUACAUUAGCAUGGAAUAAUGAAAUAGGACGUUCGAUCCUAUUUUGUUGGUUUCUAGGAUUGACGUAAUGAUUAAUAGGGAUAGUUGGGGGCAUUAGUAUUCAAUUGUCAGAGGUGAAAUUCUUGGAUUUAUUGAAGACUAACUACUGCGAAAGCAUUUGCCAAGGAUGUUUUCAUUAAUCAAGAACGAAAGUUAGGGGAUCGAAGACGAUCAGAUACCGUCGUAGUCUUAACCAUAAACUAUGCCGACUAGGGAUCGGAUGAUGUUAAUUUUUUAAUGACUCAUUCGGCGCCUUACG